UACGUAGGGGGCAAGCGUUGUCCGGAUUUAUUGGGCGUAAAGAGCGUGUAGGCGGCCACACAGGUCAGCUGUGAAAACUCGAGGCUCAACCUCGAGACGUCGGUUGAAACCGUAUGGCUAGAGUCCGGAAGAGGAGAGUGGAAUUCCCGGUGUAGCGGUGAAAUGCGCAGAUAUCAGGAGGAACACCGGUGGCGAAGGCGGGUCUCUGGGCAGUAACUGACGCUGAGGAGCGAAAGCGUGGGGAGCGAACAGG
rnacentral:rRNA from 1 species